AUGCGACCCCCUGCGGGUCCGGGAGCGCGGCGCGGGGGAGAGCGGCAGGCCCGGAGAUCUCCCGGGAAGGAAGGAAGCAGAUUCCUCCUCCAGCAGCCCGGGCCUCCUGGAACACCCAACCCCAACCCAGCCCCGCCCGCCACUUGUCGCAGAGCAAACUUGUCCAUUUGUAGGUCCAGCGGUCCGGCGUCCAGAUCCCAGGCCGGGGCGCAGACCUGCGUGGUGGACCCUCUCCCACCCCCUCCCGUCCCGCCCCUUCCUUUCCCUUCCCUGGCUCCCUGGGGUGCGUCCCAUCCCGUCCCAUCCCUUCCCUCCCCUGGCUCCCUGGGCUGUGUCCCUUCCCUUCCCGUCCCUUACGUGGCUCCCUGGGCUGUGUCCCGUCCCGUCCCUUCCCUGGCUCCCUGGGCUGCGUCCCAUCCCGUCCCGUCCCUAUCCCUUCCCUCCCCUGGCUCCCUGGGCUGUGUCCCUUCCCUUCCCGUCCCUUACCUGGCUCCCUGGGCUGUGUCCCUUCCCUUCCCGUCCCUUACCUGGCUCCCUGGGCUGUCCCCCAUCCCUUCCCUUCCUGGCUCCCUGGGCCGUGUCCCGUCCCUUCCCUGGCUCCCUGGGGUGCGUCCCAUCCCGUCCCUUCCCAUCCCUUCCCUUCCCUGGCUCCCUGGGCUGCGUCCCUUCCCUUCCCGUCCCUUACGUGGCUCCCUGGGCUGUGUCCCGUCCCGUCCCUUCCCUGGCUCCCUGGGCUGCGUCCCUUCCCUGGCUCCCUGGGCUGCUUCCCGUCCCUUCCCAUCCCGUCCCUUCCCAUCCCGUCCCUUCCUGACUCCUUUCCCUGGCUCCCUGGGGUGCGUGCCGUCCCGUCCCUUCCCAUCCCUUUCCACCCCGUCCCGGCGCGCGUCCCUGGCGAGUCCUAGCCCAGGGCCUGGAGCCUCCGGCGGUUGCCGUGCGCCUUUCGAGCCAGCUGCUCCUCCCGGGCCCGGUGGAGGAGCUCCCGCAGCAGGUGGAAGGACAGGUCCAGCGCGUUGGGCCUCCUCUCCCGCCCCCAGCCCGCCCUGA
rnacentral:lncRNA from 1 species